rnacentral:rRNA from 1 species
GAUGAACGCUGGCGGCGUGCCUAACACAUGCAAGUCGAGCGAACAGACGAGGAGCUUGCUCCUCUGACGUUAGCGGCGGACGGGUGAGUAACACGUGGAUAACCUACCUAUAAGACUGGGAUAACUUCGGGAAACCGGAGCUAAUACCGGAUAAUAUAUUGAACCGCAUGGUUCAAUAGUGAAAGACGGUUUUGCUGUCACUUAUAGAUGGAUCCGCGCCGCAUUAGCUAGUUGGUAAGGUAACGGCUUACCAAGGCAACGAUGCGUAGCCGACCUGAGAGGGUGAUCGGCCACACUGGAACUGAGACACGGUCCAGACUCCUACGGGAGGCAGCAGUAGGGAAUCUUCCGCAAUGGGCGAAAGCCUGACGGAGCAACGCCGCGUGAGUGAUGAAGGUCUUCGGAUCGUAAAACUCUGUUAUUAGGGAAGAACAAAUGUGUAAGUAACUAUGCACGUCUUGACGGUACCUAAUCAAAAAGCCACGGCUAACUACGUG